CUGGCUCAGAACGAACGCUGGCGGCAUGGAUUAGGCAUGCAAGUCGAACGGGAGCAGCAAUGCUCCAGUGGCGCAAGGGUGAGGAACACGUGAACAACCUGCCUUCGAGUUGGGGAUAGCUUCUGGAAACGGGAGAUAAUACCGAAUAACAUCGCCGGAUCGCAUGAUCUGGUGAUCAAAGCAGCAAUGCGCUUGAAGAGGGGUUCGCGUCCCGUUAGCUAGUUGGUGAGGUAACGGCCCACCAAGGCGAUGAUGGGUAGCUGGUCUGAGAGGACGAUCAGCCACAUUGGGACUGAGAUACUGCCCAGACUCCUACGGGAGGCUGCAGUCGAGAAUUUUGGGCAAUGGACGAAAGUCUGACCCCAAGCAAUGCCGCGUGCGGGAUGAAGGUCUUCGGAUUGUAAACCGCUGUCAAGAGGGACGAAAUUUGACGGUACCUCUGGAGGAAGCCACGGCUAACUACGUGCCAGCCGCUGC
rnacentral:rRNA from 1 species